AUGAGAACGAGAUUAGGGAUUCUGACUCUGAUCCAGAUUUGCAUUUAGUAGGUUCCGAUCUCGGUGGUUCUGAUGGUUCAAACGAGGAUGUCCUUAUCAAAACAGUCCGAGUUAUAGCGAACCUGUGUCUGGCGGAGCUUGCUGGAAGAGGUUUAGCAGCGAACCACGCUGAAAGAACAGUUCGCGCUCUUUUAUCUUGUCUGGACCUAGCUGAAAAACCGCCUGAUAAUAAGAUAAAUGAUUUACCAGAGAAGGAACGUAAUGCCUGGUUGGGCAGACGAGAAGAACUAGCUAUGGCGGCGUUGGCCACUUUGAACAAUGUCACCUUCUACCUCGAACCUUCUGCUGACUACCCUCUAAGUAACACUUUAGAGUUUAUGUGCAAGAGUAAG
rnacentral:misc_RNA from 1 species